rnacentral:rRNA from 1 species
CAGUAGCCGCGGUAAUACGUAGGUGGCAAGCGUUGUCCGGAAUUAUUGGGCGUAAAGCGCGCGCAGGCGGAUCAGUUAGUCUGUCUUAAAAGUUCGGGGCUUAACCCCGUGAGGGGAUGGAAACUGCUGAUCUAGAGUAUCGGAGAGGAAAGUGGAAUUCCUAGUGUAGCGGUGAAAUGCGUAGAUAUUAGGAAGAACACCAGUGGCGAAGGCGACUUUCUGGACGAAAACUGACGCUGAGGCGCGAAAGCCAGGGGAGCGAACGGGAUUAGAUACCCCGGUAGUCCCUGUCUCUUAUACC